GUGAACCUGCGGAAGGAUCAUUGUCGAUGCCUGUCCAAAACAGAACGACCCGCGAACGAACGAUCACCACUCGCGGUGGGCUGGUAUCUUAACAGAUCCCUUGCCCGCCGGAUCCGUGGUUUCGCGUAGCGUCUCGGUCGGGAGCUUAUCUCGUCCUGGUCCUGCGCGUUGCUUCCGGAUAUCACAAAACCCCGGCACGAAAAGUGUCAAGGAACAUGCAACCGAACGGCCGGCAUUCGCCUCCCCGGAGACGGUGUGUGCGYGAAUGCUGAGCUGCGAUAUAAAGUCUAAAACGACUCUCGGCAACGGAUAUCUCGGCUCUCGCAUCGAUGAAGAACGUAGCGAAAUGCGAUACUUGGUGUGAAUUGCAGAAUCCCGUGAACCAUCGAGUCUUUGAACGCAAGUUGCGCCCCAAGCCUUCGGGCCGAGGGCACGUCUGCCUGGGUGUCACAAAUCGUCGUCCCCCCUCAUCCUCUAUGGAGAGAUUCGGGACGGAAGCUGGUCUCCCGUGUGUUACCGCACGCGGUUGGCCAAAAUCCGAGCCAAGGACGCUUGGAGCGUUCCGACAUGCGGUGGUGAACUCGAUCCACUUUCAUUUCGUCGGCCGCUCUUGUCCGGAAGCUCUAGAUGACCCAAAGUCCUCAAAGCGAC
rnacentral:rRNA from 1 species